rnacentral:rRNA from 1 species
GGACCCGCACAAGCGGUGGAGUAUGUGGUUUAAUUCGAUGCAACGCGAAAAACCUUACCAAGGUUUGAAAUCAUUCUAAAACUCUUUGAAAGAAGAGCCUCCUUCGGGAUAGAAUGACAGGUGGUGCAUGGCUGUCGUCAGCUCGUGUUGUGAAAUGUCAAGUUAAGUCUUGUAACGAGCGCAACCCAUGUCUUUUGUUGCUGUUUACAGUGCUUAAAAGAGACUGCCGCUCUACAGCGGAGGAAGGUGUGGAUGAUGUCAAGUCAGCAUGCCCCUUAUAUCUUGGGCUACACACGUACUACAAUGGUAGGGACAAUGAGUCGCAAACCUGCGAAGGCUAGCCAAUCUCAAAAACCCUAUCUCAGUUCGGAUUGUACUCUGCAACUCGAGUGCAUGAAGGUGGAAUCGCUAGUAAUCGCUGGU